rnacentral:rRNA from 1 species
GAUGAACGCUGACAGAAUGCUUAACACAUGCAAGUCAACUGUGGCGGACGGGUGAGUAACGCGUAAAGAACUUGCCUCACAGCUAGGGACAACAUUUGGAAACGAAUGCUAAUACCUGAUACUGUGAGAGAGCUUUGCGUCCCAUUAGCUAGUUGGAGAGGUAACGGCUCACCAAGGCGAUGAUGGGUAGCCGGCCUGAGAGGGUGAUAGGCCACAAGGGGACUGGGGAACGGUCAUUACUCCUAAGGGAAGAAGGAGUGGGGAAUAGUGGACAAUGGACCAAAGUAUGAAGAAGCAAUUCUGUGUGCACGAUAAAGUUGUCGGAAGGUAAAGUGCUAUCAGUUGAGAAGCGGUACCAGCAGAAGAAGUGACGGCUAAAUACGUGCCAGCAGCCGCGGUAAUUC